GGGGUACAGAUACAGCUUUAACACGUGGCAAGACGGCGUGUGAAGAGUUUUCAGUGGUCCUGGUCAGGGGUCCUGAGCGUCAGACCAAGGAGGUGGUGACAGAAGAAGCAGAGAAUGCGGGAUAAGCCAAAGAACAUUCUGGAAGAAGUCAAAAGACUAUAGGCAAAUUCCCAGGGGAAGUGUGAGUGCCCAGGAAACGGUGCUGAAGACACGGAUGAGAGUGUCAUCGGGACCUGCUGCGUGGACACCACCAUGGGAACCAACAGACUGGGGGAGCCCCGGGGCCUUGUGAGGGUUGGGGAGGGGUCAGUUCUGAGAGGCCCGGGCUAUAACGAGGAGACCCAGGAAGGAGGCCCAGGAGGGGCUGCAGUGGGGAGGCCCAGGAGGGGCUGCAGCGGGGGAGGCCCGGGAGGGGCCCCAGGGAGGCCUGCCCUGCUGGUGACCCUUGAGGAACCUGGGUGAGUGGAGACGCUGGGCUUCAGAGUCAAGGGCUGAGACAUAUCUUUUGGGGGCUUGAGAGCAGAAGAGACGGGGCUGCGGGGGCAUCCACCUCCUUGCUGGAGGCCUUGCGCUGAUUGCUCCACUGGCCUGCUGUUGGGCAGCAGCGAGCCCCGCGGUGGACACAUGGUGGCGCUGCAGGACAGCCUGGCGGCCACGCGGCAACACCAGGACCAGGGACCUGGGGCGGCUCCCUGCAGGGUCAGCACUGCCAAAGAGCUAGCACUCCAGCACCGUGCACCCCUAUAGCCUGCACUUGGGCAUCCAGCACCCCGCAUCCUGCACUCUGCAGCCAGCAACCCAGCAUCCCGGUACCCCAACAUCCUGCGCCCGGCACCAGCAGGCAGUGGCCCCUGGGAGUCCUUGCAGGAAGGCGGGUCCAAGAACCCUGGGUCGGGUAGGGAGAGGACCUGGAUGGGGGCAGGAGGGAUCUUCCCCGACUGGGAGAAGUCAUCCUUCUGCCCAUCCAUCCACUCGUUUGUUCCUUCAUCCACUCACUCGUUCACUCAUUCAUCCACUCACUCACUCAUCCAUUCGUUCAUGUAUCCACCCGCUGAUUCACUCAUUCGUCCACUCACGCAUCUGUUCAUCCAUCCAUCCCUCCAUUCAUUCCUUCGCUCAUUCAGCACUUACCAGGUGCCGGCUCUGCUCGGGGUGCUGGGGUCCCUGCUGCCCUGGGUGUGCAUAUGGCAGGGGUCACAGAGUGAUGAGGGUGGAGGGACAUCAGGUCAGUGAUCAGGAAAGGCUUCCUUGAGGAAGCAGCAUCUGAUCUCAAGAGCACCGCAGACAGAGGGACAGUGAGGGGACCAUGUAGGGACAGACUAGCGUGCAGGAUGGGGGUACAGGGCCCCGGGCUUGUCUGUUUCUGAUUCUCUGUGAGCUGGAGGCUGCUGGCCCUAACUGGGGAGGCGCUGAUCUAACCUGCAUUUUGAAAAGUGGCUCUGGCCGCUCCCUCGUGGAGAGAAGGGGUCGUCAUGGGAAACAACUCGGAGACUGAAGGUCGUCUGGGAAGAGCAGGUCAUGAAAGACAUGGGGCCUCCAGCCUGACAGCAAGCCCACAGGAGGCCCCCAGCCAGAACCACCCCACUCGGCGGCUCCGGAUUCCUGACCCUGGGCUGCUGUGAGAUGAUGAACGUCUGUCCUGAACCCCCAAACUGUUCCACAGCAGACGCACCAUUUUACACUCCGCCCAGCCGUGUACGAGGGUUCCAGUGUCUCCACGUCCUCGCCAACACUUGCUAUUUUCCGUUUUCUUGAAUAAAGUCGUCCUGGUGGGUGCGAAGUGCUAUCUCACUGUGGUUUUGAUUUGCGUUUCCCUAGUGACUAAUGAGCCAGCCCCGGUGGGCUAGUGGUUAAGAUCUGGCGCUCUCGCUGCCAUGGCCCAGGUUCAUCUCCUGGUCCGGGAACCACACCACCCGUCUGUUGGUUGUCACACUACAGGGGCUGCAUGUUGCUGUGAUGCUGAAAGCUAUGCCACCAGGAUUUCAAACACCAGCAGUGUCACCCAUGGUGGACAGGUUUCAGCGGAGCUUCCAGACUAAGACAGACUAGGAAGAAGGAACUGGCCACCCAUUUUCGAAAAAAUUGGCCAUGAAAACCCUGUGAACAGCAGUGGAGCGCUGUCUGAUCGAGCGGCUGGAAGGCGAGAGGAUGGCGCAGAAAGCCCAGGCGGGUUCCGCUCUGCUGUGCACCAGGCGCUAGGUGUUGGAAUCCACUCGACAGCACUAACAACAAAUGACUAAUGACGCUGAGCAUCUUUUCAUGGGCUUGUUGGCCAUUUGAACCUCUUCUUUGGAGAAACGUCUAGUCAAAUCCUUUGUCCAUUUUUUAACUGGGCUGCUUGUCCUCUGGUUGUCGAGUUGUAAGAGUCCUUUAUAUGUUCUGGAUGUUAAACUCUUAUCAGACACAUGAUUUGCAAAUAUUGUCUCCAGACAGUUUUUCUAGAGGUUGGCUUUUGCGCAUUCUUGAUAAGCUCUUUUGGUGCAUAACAGUUUUUCAUUUUUAUGAAGUCCAAUUUAUCUAUCUUUUCUUUUCUUGCAUGUGCUUCUGGUGUCAAAUCUAGGAAUCCAUUGCCAUACUCGAGGUCAUGAGGAUUUACCCUGAUGUUCUUUUCUCAGGAGCUUUAUAGUUUCAGCUCUAUUUGUAUUUAGGCUGUUGAUGCAUUUUGAGAUAGUUUCCGUAUGUGGUGUGUGGUGGGGUCCACCUUUUUUCUUUUGCAUGUGGGUGUCCCGCUGUCCCAGAACCAUCUGUUAACAGACUGUUCCUCCCCCGCUGAAUGGUCUUGUCAUCGUUGUUGAACAUAAUUGCCACAGAUGUUCGGCUGUGCUGGGGGCUCUGUGCUCUAGUCCGCCGGUCUGUGAGUCUGUCCUUAUGCCAGGACCGCACUGUCUUGAUUCCUGUAGCUUUGUAGUAAGUUUUGAAACAGGGAAGUACAAAUUUUUCAACUUUUUCUUUCUCAGUAUUGUUCUGGCUAAAUAGGGGCCCCUCGCAAUUCCACAUGAACUUGAGGGUUGGUCUUCCAUGUUGAUGGGAUUCACUGAACCUGCGGAUUGCGUUCGGGAUGUUGCCGUUUAGCAACAUUAGGUCUUCUCAUCCAUGAACGAGAUGCCUUACCGUGUGUUUAGGUUCCCUUUGAUGGUUUGAGCAGUGUUUUGCAGUUUUCAGUGUAAGGGUCUUUCGUCUCCUUGGUUAAAUCUGUUCCUGUGUAUUUUAUUCUUGUUGAUACUACUGUAAAGGGAACUGGCUCCUUAAUUUCCGUUUCAGAUUGUUCACUGCUGGCGUGCCGUCUGUUUUCUUCUCCAGUCCAGUAAGUUCCGAUUCCUCCUCCCACACACAGUGGGCAGUGCCUGGGUUGGUGAAUGGGGUGCCUCACCUGGAUUCCAGAUCCUUCGCUGCUUGUCCCAACUGCACACUUUCAGGCCCCAUGUGGACCUGCUGCUGCCCCUUCCUGAGGCCGACCAGCUGGCCAGGGCUCCCUGGAGGCCCUUUGGGCUGAAACUCUGGCAAAGCCUCCCCGGCCCUGCAUCUCACCCCCAGCUGGGGGAUGACAAGAAGAAUCAUCAGGGAAGGCCUAGGAGAAAUUCCUGCAAAGCCACAGAGGUGCCCCUCUGCCCCCGGAGCCCUGCUCCCCGCCCUGUGGAUGUGGCUGCAUCAGGAUGUGGGAGCCUUGGGGGCGCUCCUGGCUGUCUGGGUGGCAUCCGACCCCCAAUGCUGCUGAGCCCCAGGUGACACCAGCCCCUGGCCCAGGUGAUGGAGAUGGCCCCAGAGGCCUAGCCGUGGCCUUGGGGGCUCCUGCCGGCAGGACAGUCCCUCUGGCCCCAGAGAGCCAAUUCAGAACUUGCCAGUGGGGCCUCAGGGGUGUCUGGAGGAAGCUGCAGCGAUGACUGCCCCCAGGGAGUGAAGAAGCAGGUCCCCUCCCCCAGCUCCCAGGGGGAGCUGAAACCAUCUCGUCCCUCCACCCUCUGGGUGGCGACUACCUGGAGCCUGGGAGGGAGGGACCCACGGCCUCCGGGGCUGGGCUGCGGCUGCCCCCUCUCCCCACCCCAGGGAGGAGCUGUUUGGACCAUGAGGAGGGGCUGGUGGGAGUGUGGACACCUUGAUGGGAGGAGGAAAUUCCCCUUCUUCAUGAAGAUGUGGCACCUGCUGGGGUUCUGGAUGGUUCUACUGGACCAGAGGGGAUGCUGCCCCCCAGGUGCCAGGCUUGUUGCCACGUGACCGAGCAGAGCCUGCUUCUUUCCAGAGAUGGGCGGCUGUGCUGCACCCUGGCUCCCGAGGUGGCUUCAUGUCAGCCCCCGGGGCCUGGGGACUGGUGGUGGUGGUGGUGGUGGGGUCCUGGGGACAGCCCUUUCCAGGACAUGCACGCUGGCCCUGGAGGUGGUGGGGAGCAAAGGGCGUGCCCUUGGGCCCAUGUUGGGAACAUGAAGCCCACCCCCUCACAAGUGGGCAGGGUCCCACCACCAGGUGGGAGGCCAAGAGACCUUCACUCCAAGCAACAGAUCCAGGGGCUGCAAUCGAUUUCCAAGGGUUUGUCUCUUCUAG
ensembl:lncRNA